GAUGAACGCUGGCGGCGUGCCUAAUACAUGCAAGUCGAGCGAACAGACGAGGAGCUUGCUCCUCUUACGUUAGCGUCGGACGGGUGAGUAACAUGUGGAUAACCUACCUAUAAGACUGGGAUAACUUCGUGAAACCGGAGCUAAUUCCGGAUAAUAUCUUGAACCGCAUGGUUCAAUAGCGAAAGACGGUUUUGCUUUCACUUAUAGAUGGAUUCGCGCCGUAUUAGCUAGUUGGUAAGGUAACGGCUUACCAAGGCAACGAUGAGUAGCCGACCUGAGAGGAUGAUCAGCCACACUGGAACUGAGACACGGUCCAGACUCCUACGGGAGGCAGCAGUGGGGAAUCUUGCGCAAUGGGCGAAAGCCUGACGGAGCAACGCCGCGUGAGUGAAGAAGGUCUUCGGAUCGUAAAACACUGUUAUUAGGGAAGAAAAGAUGUGGAAGAAAAUAUGCACGUGUUGACGGUACCGGAUCAGAAAGCCACGGCUAACUACGUG
rnacentral:rRNA from 1 species